AGAAACGGGAAAAUUAGCAUUACCUUACAUGUAUACCUAAUUGAGGCCACCGUUUCAGUCCAAACAAGGAAAUUUAUCUACAGAAAUACGCAAAGGAGAUUGUUCACUCUGCUAUAAAUUAGUUCCACCAUGAUGCAAUUCCUCUGCACGAACAAUGGAAAAUACCUCGAUGAAAUUGAGUCUCUCGGUCAUCUUCUUUCUCAUCACAACUGGUACGUUGUUGAAGAUGCCAGGAGCAGAUGCAAGGGCACCAGCUCGCUGUCCUCGGAUGAUUGACUGCAGCUCGGUGUGUCAGGGGUUCCCCUACAAGUGCGUUGACGGCGAGUGCAUCUGUGGUAAAGAGGUAAUUUCCCGGUCACCUGCUUCAAUCCAGCUAUAAAUUAGACAACUGAAGCGAUGAUUCCAGAUGGGCAUGAGACGUGCAAAGUAUCUUUACAAUAAUAUUAGUUUUCUGAAGAAAUCGAGCCUUAAUUUGUACUCACUACUAGUUAUCCUCUUCUCUUCUAUAGAUGAAUUGAAAGAAUAAAUUGCGGAACAAGCAAAAUAUCUCUCUUAAUUGGAUGAAUAA